GGACAUGCGAACAUGGCCUGAGUGGACUACAACAAUUGAAACUCAAGUGUUGGUUAAUUUUAUAAUCUUCUGCAGGGACAAAAAGAGUGCACAGCAAAAUCCAGAUAAGUUUUGAAUUUUCUAAAACCUUAAAAGCAUUCAUUUGAAUUUGAUAUAGGCUAGGUCAAGCAAUCACUAAAAACUUUCCAGAUUCGUUUAUAUGCGGAGAGUAAAAAACCGCUAUUUUGUUGGUUACUUGGCUAGCGGUUAUUGUUUAGCCGUAAACGACAUUAAAAUCACUUUAAGUCCAAUUGAAUCUAAUUAAAAUUAAACUUCUCACUCGCUCAUUGUUUAUGCUUGGUCGCUGCAUAAAAAAAUGAGCGAGUGAGAGAUUUAAUUUUAAUUAGAUUACUUUGAGUCGAGCACACCGUGCACAAGAAGGAAUACUUUUCGAAGUUUUUAUAGCUGCUGUACCAUAGUACGGUUUAUGGUGUGUAUAUCGAGGAACCGUUAUUAUUUAAAUACGACAUUGACUUGCCAUGAGUAACUCUUACGGUUGGAGGCUAAAUGAGUUUGUCCUUUACUUAUAGGACAGUACGCUUCUUAUAGAAGAAUAUUUAAAAAAAAAAAGCAAUGAUUAUUUGUCAAUCACUCCCAGAAAAGCAGAAUCAUUAAUUUUACAAUUUCCAAACAUAAUGUAAAAAAUAGAAUAGAAUAAAAAAGAAUAGAUUGAACAAUAAAUAACAUUAGACUAAUAAUUAGAUUUGAAAUAAUUGAUCAACCGAUUCAAAAAUCAAUCAUUGAUUUCCGGAAAUUACAGCUUUUCCGACUUUGGUUCGUAACUUAGACGCUGACAUUAUCAAAACAAUGGCGCUAAAUUGAUGAAGUGAAAGAAAAUCUAAUGUUUGUCUCCCACCCAUAACAUAGUUUGAAUGUAAAGGUAAGUGUUUAAGUGCUGUUAAGUUGAGUUCACUGUUUACUAUUCCGUGCAUUGCUAAUCAAUCCUCAUUAGGCCAAUGCAAACGCUGGGAAAAUAGAUCGAUAAAUGA
rnacentral:lncRNA from 1 species